UGCGGCUGGAUCCCCUCCUUUCUAGGGAGAUGCCGAAUCGGCCUAGCGCCGGUUCGGUCGACCUAGGUCAAUUCGACCGUACGACCCCGUGAAUCCCGGGUUCUCCCGGUAACUCGUUCAAUCGGGACGGGGUUGGUCGAAAACGUUCACCACUUCUGCACGUCAUUCGUUUUUCGGGGACCGUAAUUGGAGCGGUCGCUCGUCCGCGUCUCUUGAUUGGGCCUGUAGCUCAGUUGGUUAGAGCGUCCGCCUGAUAAGCGGGAGGCCGGCAGUUCAAAUCUGCCCAGGCCCACCACCCGCCGGCCUCGUGUCGGGGCUGUAGCUCAGCUGGGAGAGCGCGGGCUUUGCAAGCCUGAGGUCGUCGGUUCGAUCCCGAUCAGCUCCACCAUUUCGGCUCCGACGGUUUCCUUCGGUUCGGCCUCGUCUCGAGGUCGAGCGCCUCGCACAGGCGGGAGCGACGAGCUCACCGGAGUCAGCGGUCUUUGACAACCAAAUAGAUUUCUGGGUCCAAGCGGAGAAUUGAAAGCAGUGCCUUGGCAAACACGAAGCGAAUGAUUUCGCUUCUCUGCAACGCAAUGAGAGAACCAAUUUUGGUCAAGCUACGAAGAGCAGACGGCGGAUGCCUUGGCGCCAGGAGACGAUGAAGGACGUGGGCAGCAGCGAAAUGCUCCGGGGAGGCGCAAACCAUCCUUUGAUCCGGAGAUGUCCGAAUGGGGAAACCCGG
rnacentral:misc_RNA from 1 species